rnacentral:lncRNA from 1 species
CCUCCGGCUCACGAUUGCGUGCGUCCCUUCCUUUGUUCGCCGAGCGUCUCUGUCCCUGCUUCCAUGGAAGUCACGCCCGACUGCUCGACUCCUCACCGGCGACAACGGUCGCGCUCGCCCCAGCUCAGCUUCGGACAUGCGCGCUCCUCUGCUCGCCGUGGUCGACAUCUCUCCCUGUCGCCCAGGUUGGCUCUACAUCUCCCAUGACUGUCUGCUCUAGCUCGUCAUAGUCCCUGCGCGCGUCGAGUUUUCAUGUGGAGCUCUCUGCUCACGCGCAGCUCGCUCUUUCUUUGUUGCCGCGCGCACGAAUUUUAUCUGCUCGUCACAGCGUGUCGAGUUCCCACACCAUCAUCGCUUCUGUCACAAGCUCAUUGGUCACAGUUAUCUUGACCGCGUCAGCUCGCGACUGUGGUCGUGUUCAUCGAAUUCGCCAACGCUUUGUUGCCGAUUCGACUGUCGUCGCUUCGCGUGUUGUCGAGCCUAUCGUUUUCCCUGUCUUGUGCUCGCGCGGUUUCCUGCUCGCCAGCGUGCCCUCUCGGCUCGCUCGGCUUUAAUUCCCAAUCGCGUCGUCGAUCUCGUCGUUUGCCGUCGAGUCGUUAAAAACGGCAUCCCCGGCUCGAUCCCCACCUCACCAGCUUACCCCAGACUUCAAUCGAAGGUCGUCGUCGUUCGUGCAUCCCGAAGAAAACCCAAGAAUCGGGUGAAGACGAAGUUAGCAGCGCGAUUUUCCCCAAGUGCUCCACCAAUUGCCUGGAUCGGAAAAUCGCUACCGAUCUCGCGGAUUCGUGUCAGCUGUGGAAACGGUAAGCUGAUAAAUUAUUCAGAAUAGUUCGAUCGAUGAAUAAAUUAAUGUGCUAGUGCGAUGCUCAUUAAGGUGCUCGAUAAAUUUCUUAAGUCACGAAACUCUCGUCGACUUCGCAGUUCUUGCGAUUAUCGAGCCAGGUUCAGUUAUAGCGAGUUAUUUCGCUAUUCCGGCCAAUUAGCGGAAUUAGUGUACCGAAUAGAAUAUUAAUAGGCCCGUGUGAUGAGGAAAUAGUUUAAUCACUAAUACAGCUGUGUAUAUAUUUAUGAUAAAGAAAUAUUAGAGUAAUUGUUGACAUGAAAAACAUGUGAGGAGUAAAAUAAAAUUAAAAAAGUUCUUUGUGAGCGAUGUAGUAUAAUUCAUAAAACGAGGGAUAAGUUUAGAAUUCAAUUAAUUAACUGAUAAGUUGUGGUUAGGCUAAUUGUAUUAAAGGUGUAUAAUUUGUUGUUUUGUGAUGUUCGUUAGGUUCGGUUAAUCUAGAGAAGCGUAAUUAUUGCGUGUAGUCAUAUAUUAAUAACUAGUGUUUCCGUACAAAAUUGUACAACGCCUCACCGCUAGGUGUUUAAAUUCGCCAUCGCGUAGCACUAUUUAGGGUUUUUGAUAUUCCUGUCUAUAUGCAUUCAUGUGCAUAAUGCAUUUCAUUCAGGUGCGAUAAUUAAUCACGUGAUGCGGAAGAUGACUCAAGUCGACCCCAAGCGCGGGCUAACCCGCAGGAUGAUGUUGAUGGACGGAAUCGAAGAUGGAAAAUCUAGCGAAUGUCAAGACAGAAGAUGGUCGUCAAGCGGACAUCGCCUAACAAACACUAACCUAGUGUUAUUCAGGCAAGCCUCGGUGCAUGCAACCCCUUCCUUGUGUUUUUAAAUAAUUUUUUGCACAUUUUAAGUCUAGUGAAAUGUGCAUUAAGUUUAUAGGAAUUGCUUGGAAACUACUUGAUGCAUUGCCUUCCUUGAUAUCCAUACCUUUAUAGAUACUUCUGGUGAAGUAUCAAAAUAUGAUUUACAAAAAAAUGCUUAGCCCAGCUCAGAUCUUAUGGAUAGAGGUUGCCUUUUGCAUUAAGGCCUAGCUCAGGGGUUAUCCUGAGGAAAUAUGGCUUCUACCUGCAAGAAUAUUUCAUUGAGAGCGUGGUGGGAUCUUACUGUAAAGUUCCCCUUGAUGCUAUUUUCAUCCUAAGGAAUACAAACAAUCCUAAGGGUGGAAGUACUUAAAUUGGGACUUAGGCUAGGAACAUGUGAUUUUCUACCCAGGUUGAUUAAGGAUUGGAUGCGUAUGUAGGCCUACUGACCGAGGACCCUUUAACUGGUCACAUGCCUCAUCAUGGGUAAGCUUUGCCUCGGGCAGACUACUACCAGAAUAAGAUAACACGCAAUGGGAGUGGAG